rnacentral:rRNA from 1 species
GACGUGAGAGGCAAGCGUUGUCCGGAAUUAUUGGGCGUAAAGAGCUUGUAGGCGGUUUUGUCGCGUCUGCUGUGAAAUUUUCGGGGGCUCAACCCCCGAACUUGCAGUGGGUACGGGCAGACUAGAGUGUGGUAGGGGAGACUGGAAUUCCUGGUGUAGCGGUGAAAUGCGCAGAUAUCAGGAGGAACACCGAUGGCGAAGGCAGGUCUCUGGGCCACUACUGACGCUGAGAAGCGAAAGCAUGGGGAGCGAACAGG